GAUGAACGCUGGCGGCGUGCCUAAUACAUGCAAGUAGAACGCUGAAGGAAGGAGCUUGCUCUUUCCGGAUGAGUUGCGAACGGGUGAGUAACGCGUAGGUAACCUGCCUGGUAGCGGGGGAUAACUAUUGGAAACGAUAGCUAAUACCGCAUAACAGUAGAUGUUGCAUGAUAUCUACUUAAAAGGUGCAAUUGCACCACUACCAGAUGGACCUGCGUUGUAUUAGCUAGUUGGUGAGGUAACGGCUCACCAGGGCGACGAUACAUAGCCGACCUGAGAGGGUGAUCGGCCACACUGGGACUGAGACACGGCCCAGACUCCUACGGGAGGCAGCAGUAGGGAAUCUUCGGCAAUGGACGGAAGUCUGACCGAGCAACGCCGCGUGAGUGAAGAAGGUUUUCGGAUCGUAAAGCUCUGUUGUAAGAGAAGAACGAGUGUGAGAGUGGAAAGUUCACACUGUGACGGUAUCUUACCAGAAAGGGACGGCUAACUACGUG
rnacentral:rRNA from 1 species